UAUGUGGAAAAUAUUUUUAUUUGUUUUUAUAAUUGGCAAAUCGAGAGUAUUUGCUAUUAUCUUUUAUUGUUUAACGAUAGAUAUUAUAUAUUAAUAAAAAUGAAAUGUAUUUAUAUUUUUUUAUUGUAUUACAUAUAAUUUGUCUUAGUAGGGAGACGUAGGAAGCACAGAUUGCUCGUAAGCGAGCAUACAUAGACAUCGCAAAAGACUUCGCAAAAGACUUAGCAAAAGAGAUAGCGAUGUUUAAUAUAAUAAAUUAUGUCUUUCUCUUUCUCUUUUAUCGAAAGUAGAAGAGGCAACUCUACGCUCAUUAGAGAAGGAUAGCGAGCUCCGUUAAGUAGCUCCGUUCUUUUCAUUCAAACGGACAUUUUUUUCUUACGAUAAAAAUAUAAUAAGAACAGUCUAUGCUUUCUAUGGUCUCAGUCUCGUAAGACAUGGCAUACUUACUGUCCUUGCUGAUAAGCGAUAUAUCUCGAUAAUAGCAGAACAAAGCUAAAAAAUAGACAUGAUAUUCAAAAUUUAUAAAUAUUACAGCAAGUAGAAUUUGUAAAAAGAAUAUCUGUCAAAUUAUUAAAUUUAUCGAGCCAGCGAUCUUUGUAAAAACGCCAAAAAACUGCGAAUUAAUACGGAGAUGAUCUCUCUAAAACUAUAGAUCUACAACUGUACGGUUUCACGUACAAAAAAUAUCUAUCACUUUGGAAAUCAAAGAUAAAGAAGUGGAAACUAGGAUCUUUAAAAAUAGAGUCCUACAAGUUCGAAGAUCUCUAAAUAGAGAAAUGAUGAAAAAAUCGUGAAAAUCUCUCGGAUUCCACGAUUGACUUGUCAAAAAUCAAAAUUAUCGCAAGUAACAGCAAGUCAAUCGAGGUUUUCAAGAUGAGCCGGAGUAGGCAGAGGGAGAAGAGUGGCAGUACCACGGUCGAGGGAGAAGCACUAAGAGCGGGGCUAACACUUUGCAGUCGGGGACGACGAGGCGAGUGGUCGCACGUGACGGUACAAUAUCGCUCGCAUCCUUGCCUCUUGUGCCUCGCCUCAAGACGUGUACACAGUAUGUAAGAGACGGCUGUGCUGUUUUACACGUCCAAGCUACUCGUCCACCCAUCAUCCCCCGACGACCGAAAGUGAAGAUGGUCCUCUCCACCUUCGCUAUCACAGCAAUCCCGAUGCGACCCUCCAAGGGCUCCCUUCCUCUAUCACGUCGUCCUCUCGACACGUCGUCCUCCCUCUUUCUCCUCUGCGAUAUCACCGGUAACUUUUGCAAGCGGACAUUAUGAUGGGCGCAUCACGUAGUUAAAAUUGGCGAUUUAAGAUUUAUUAAUCCAUGGAACGGCGAGCUCGUAUACUCUUAAAUUUGUUGAUUGUAAUAAUUAAGGAAAGAAACUGAUCUCGAGAAUCUUUUCAGAGAGAGACUCCGCUUUACCAUCUAAAAUAUCAUAAAAUCUUGCGGAUAUACGACUUUCAUGUAUCUGAUAAUACAUAUAUAUAUAUAUAUAUAUAUAUAUAUAUAUAUAUAUAUGUACGAGAUUAUGUAUCGCUUAUAUCUAAGGACGACGAAGACGUGUCGUACAUGUGUGUCGCAACUGCUUUCGCGAGGAGCCGAAAGCUGUGUGUCAGGAAGAGGCGCUCCAAGGAAGGGUGGUCGAAGGGGGUGGUUUCGGAGGUUGUCCGCGGAUGGACCAAGCAACGAGACGAGACGGGCAAGCUGUCCGCGUGACUAACCCGUCGCUACAGCUGGUCGCGUAUUAUCGAUUCGCGAAAAUUUCUCUUCACUCAUGGUCAUGCGCAACUUCCAUUUCCACCUUGAGAAUACGGGUCGCGCACGCAACGUGGCCAUCGACAAGAUGCGAUGGCGCGCCGGCGUGCACGUGUACGUAUGUGUGUACAUGUGUACACGUACAUGUCAGAACUGCACGGAAAAAGGGAGGCUCGACGUCGGUGCGUGCGCAGGGUGUCCCGAGGCGGAAAACGCGCUCUGCUUCUCUCUCUCUCUCUCUCUCUCUCUCUCUCUGUCAGGGGUGUAGUCCCCGGGGGUGAUGGCACCUUCCGCCAAAUGGUUUGAGAGAGUCAAAGUUUUAAGCAUAUUAACACCAGAAUACACUCGCAGUGACGAGCAACAUGUUCACCGAUGAUUCCAACUGGGAUUUAAGGGCUUCUUCGCGCGUCUGGUCCGGAUUUUAAAUAGCCGGAUGGAGCAGCUGUUUUCGCAAAAGGAUGCGCACGCAAAGACAGUUCCUCGUAUGCGUGAAUCUGAUUUCGCUUUCUUUUAAUGAUACAAGAAACAUUGUAAAUGCAAAUUCAGACUCGACAGAGUUUCAAUAUCUUUUUGCAUUUAUUCCGCUAUAUGCAUCUGUAAAUUAAAAUAAUUUAUUUAUAUAAAUAAAUUAAUGAAA